GACGAACGCUGGCGGCGUGCUUAACACAUGCAAGUCGAGCGGUAAGGCCCUUUCGGGGGUACACGAGCGGCGAACGGGUGAGUAACACGUGGGUGACCUGCCCUUAGCUCUGGGAUAAGCCUGGGAAACUGGGUCUAAUACCGGAUAUGACCUCAUGACUCAUGUUGUGGGGUGGAAAGCCUUGUGCGGCUAGGGAUGGGCCCGCGGCCUAUCAGCUUGUUGGUGGGGUAAUUGCCUACCAAGGCGACGACGGGUAGCCGGCCUGAGAGGGCGACCGGCCACACUAGGACUGAGACACGGCCCAGACUCCUACGGGAGGCAGCAGUGGGGAAUCUUGCGCAAUGGGCGAAAGCCUGACGCAGCGACGCCGCGUGAGGGAUGACGGCCU
rnacentral:rRNA from 1 species